GUUGUUGCAGUUAAAAGCUCGUAUUUGAAUUUCGGGAUCAAUGUUUCGGUCAUGCCGUUGGUAUGUACUGAUAUUAUUGAUUUCUCACCUUCUAAAGAACCGUAAUGCCAUUAAUUUGGUGUCACGGGGAAUUAGGACUGUUACCUUGAAAAAAUUAGAGUGUUUAAAGCAGGCUCACGCUUGAAUACAUUAGCAUGGAAUAAUGAAAUAGGACAUCCGAU
rnacentral:rRNA from 1 species